rnacentral:rRNA from 1 species
UACGAAGGGGGCUAGCGUUGCUCGGAUUGACUGGGCGUAAAGGGCGCGUAGGCGGUCUGUACAGUCAGGCGUGAAAUUCCUGGGCCCAACCUGGGGGCUGCGUUUGAUACGUGCAGACUAGAGUGCGGAAGAGGGUCGUGGAAUUCCCAGUGUAGAGGUGAAAUGCGCAGAUAUCGGGAGGAACACCGGUGGCAAAGGCGGUUCUCUGGGCCUUACCUGACGCUGAGGAGCGAAAGCGUGGGGAGCGAACAGG